rnacentral:rRNA from 1 species
UACGUAGGUGGCGAGCGUUGUCCGGAAUUACUGGGCGUAAAGGGCGCGUAGGCGGUUUUUUAAGUCAGAUGUGAAAACCCGAGGCUUAACUUCGGGAGUGCAUUUGAAACUGGGGAGCUUGAGUGCAGGAGAGGUAAGUGGAAUUCCUAGUGUAGCGGUGAAAUGCGUAGAUAUUAGGAGGAACACCAGUGGCGAAGGCGACUUACUGGACUGUAACUGACGCUGAGGCGCGAAAGCGUGGGGAGCAAACAGG